rnacentral:rRNA from 1 species
CCUACGGGAGGCAGCAGUGAGGAAUAUUGGUCAAUGGGCUUACGCCUGAACCAGCCAAGUCGCGUGAGGGAAGACUGCCCUAUGGGUUGUAAACCUCUUUUAUCAGGGAGCAAUUGGCGCUACGUGUAGCGUUAUCGAGAGUACCUGUCGAAUAAGACAGGGCUAACUACGUGCCGGCAGCCGCGGUAAUACGUAGGUGGCAAGAGUUGUCCGGAUUUACUGGGUUUAAAGGGCGUGUAGCCGGGCUGACAAGUCAGAUGUGAAAUCCUGGGGCUCAACCCCCGAACUGCAGUUGAAACUGUGAGUCUUGAGUAUCGUAGAGGCAGGCGGAAUUCCUAGUGUAGCGGUGAAAUGCGUAGAUAUCAGGAGGAACACCAGUGGCGAAGGCGGCCUGCUGGACGACAACUGACGGUGAGGCGCGAAAGCGUGGGGAUCAAACAGGAUUAGAUACCCCUGUAGUC